GCCUCAGUGGCGGAACGGUAGACGCGGCAGACUCAAAAUCUGCUACUCGCAAGGGUGUGGGGGUUCGAGUCCCUCCUGAGGCACCA
rnacentral:tRNA from 1 species